GAUGGCAGCGAUGAGGAAGGCGCUUCCGCGGCGACUGGUGGGCUUGGCGUCCCUCCGGGCUGUCAGCACCUCAUCUAUGGGCACUUUACCAAAGCGGGUGAAAAUUGUGGAAGUUGGUCCCCGAGAUGGACUACAAAAUGAAAAGAAUAUCGUAUCUACUCCAGUGAAAAUCAAGCUGAUAGACAUGCUUUCUGAAGCAGGACUCUCUGUUAUAGAAACCACCAGCUUUGUGUCUCCUAAGUGGGUUCCCCAGAUGGGUGACCACACUGAAGUCUUGAAGGGCAUUCAGAAGUUUCCUGGCAUCAACUACCCAGUCCUGACCCCAAAUUUGAAAGGCUUCGAGGCAGCGGUUGCUGCUGGAGCCAAGGAAGUAGCCAUCUUUGGAGCUGCCUCAGAGCUCUUCACCAAGAAGAACAUCAAUUGUUCCAUAGAGGAGAGUUUUCAGAGGUUUGACGCAAUCCUGAAGGCAGCGCAGUCAGCCAAUAUUUCUGUGCGGGGGUACGUCUCCUGUGCUCUUGGCUGCCCUUAUGAAGGGAAGAUCUCCCCAGCUAAAGUAGCUGAGGUGUGUGCAUGUGUCAGGGCAGGGGGUUUGGUGAGGGUUGGCCACCUUGUCUGCCCCUGAGCGCAUAGGUUCCUCUCCCCACCCUUUCCUGCAGGUUCCUGACUUCAUUCAUUCACCCACCUCCUUCAUUAAGCUCCCUGCUGUGAGCACAGCCCUGCACUUGCUCCCUAGAGGCCCCCCUCCUGGCCGAACAUGUAGUCCUUGAAGCCCCUGGCCUCUACCCAGCCUGAAAACCUCCGAUUCAGUUUCCAGUCUGGUCGUUGAGGUGAUUCUCUGAGGAGGGGCUCCUUACCCAGGAGUUCCCACAGUUCCUUGUAGUGAUUGAAAGGCCACAACCCUGAUGUCCUCUGAACAGUCACCAGGUCGGCACUGAGAAGAACACGGCACGGGAAUUGAGUUUGACCAGCCCAAGAACUUACGUCAUUUAGUCCUCAAAAACCACUGUGCAAAUUUGGUAUUAUUAUUCCCUUUUACAGUUGAGGAAACUGACACUAAAUAACUUGCCACACAGGUUACAAAUGGGGAAAUCAGGUAUCAAACCCCAUUUUUUCUCUCUCCAAAGCCCACUUCUUCCCAGGAUACUUUGUGGCAUCCAGAUAGGUGGAAUGGUAACAGUAGCAACUGUUUCUUGGGAGCAGCUGCCCUGCUCCAGGUCUUAGCCUCAGUUGCCACAAUCCUUGCCAUAUGACCAAAGGGUCAUCACCAUUUUUCAGAAGCAGAAAUUGAAGCUCAGAAAAGUUAAGUUGCUUGCCAAGGCCCACAGCUAGUGAGCAGCAGAACUAGGACUUUAACCCAGCGUCUCCUGACUUCAAAGGCCUGCUCCUUCCCCUGCACCCUGCUGCCCCCUAAAGGCCAGCCACUGCCACCCCACACUCUGUGCAGGGCCACUGGGGAAGCCACGCCACCAUUUCAUUUAUUUAGCAGAUCAUUGGUGUCUUCUGCUCCCCUUUCCCUGCUACAUCCCUCUGCAGCUUGUCCAGCAGCCCCGUGUGGGCAACAGCUCCUUGGGUGAGGCCAUCUUUUUUUAAGUUCACCAGUCGUAUGGGAUUAGGGGCCCACCCUAUUCCAGUAUGGCUUAUUCCAAUUGGACCCAUAUUGGACCUAUUCCAAUAUGGACCCAUUUUGCAGUGGUUUUAGAGAUGUGCAAAUGGGCUUCUAAACAUUUAAAUAGUGAUGUACCUUUAUUAAAAAAUAUAACUAUUGGCCGGGCGUGGUGGCUCACACCUGUAAUCCCAGCACUUUGGGAGGCUGAGAUGGGCGGAUCACGAGGUCAGGAGAUCGAGACCAUCCUGGCUAACAUGGUGAAACCCCGUCUCUACUAAAAAUACAAAAAAUUAGCCAGGCGUGGUGGUGGGCGCCUGUAGUCCCAGCUACUCGGGAGGCUGAGGUAGGAGAAUGGCGUGAACCCAGGAGGCGGAGCUUGCAGUGAGCUGAGAUUGCACCACCGCACUCC
rnacentral:sRNA from 1 species